AAGAUCUGGAAAACAGGUUCAGUGUACAGUUAAGCUGAACAAGACUUCUGCAAUGAUUUAAGAACUUGCCCACCAUAUUUGACAAGGCUCUCUUUCAGGACUUAUGUUGGCUUGGAGUACUCUGAGAGAGCACUGCUUUCCUAAUGCCUUCAAAAGUAUAAGGCCCAAGAGUAUGAACUUCCUGGAGCUGCUUUCCACUUGAUGCAAUCCUGGCCUCAGUAGAGAGGCCUGGCAAGUGGAGCUGGAGGUCUUGGAUAGAGGAGAACAUGGACACCAUGGUGCCAGCAUUCCUCAGCAUGCAGCUCAAAAAUUAAAAACAAUAUACAGGAAUAUAUGCAAAAGAAAUGUAGAAGGAAAAUAUGCAGAAGGAAUAAACUGCGGUGGAGAGCAGGAGAGAAUUGACCCAUCAGACACAGGAAACCGCAUGUGAGGCCAGGAGGGGACAGAGCUGUGGAUGUCCCAGACACCUGAACUGGAAGAAAGAGCCAUCAGAUACUAUGACAAAUACAUAAAGUAGAUUAGAG
rnacentral:lncRNA from 1 species